AAAUGAAUUGACGGGGGCCCGCACAAGCAGUGGAGUAUGUGGUUUAAUUCGAAGCAACGCGAAGAACCUUACCAGGUCUUGACAUCCUACUAACGAAGCAGAGAUGCAUUAGGUGCCCUUCGGGGAAAGUAGAGACAGGUGGUGCAUGGUUGUCGUCAGCUCGUGUCGUGAGAUGUUGGGUUAAGUCCCGCAACGAGCGCAACCCUUAUGUUUAGUUGCUACGCAAGAGCACUCUAGACAGACUGCCGUUGACAAAACGGAGGAAGGUGGGGACGACGUCAAAUCAUCAUGCCCCUUAUGACCUGGGCUACACACGUACUACAAUGGCGAGAACAGAGGGUUGCUACCCCGCGAGGGCAUGCGAAUCUCUAAAACUCGUCUCAGUUCAGAUUGCAGGCUGCAACUCGCCUGCAUGAAGUAGGAAUUGCUAGUAAUCGCGGAUCAGCAUGCCGCGGUGAAUACGUUCCCGGGCCUUGUACACACCGCCCGU
rnacentral:rRNA from 1 species